UUGUCAGACCAUAUGGGCGGAGGUCUGCACCUUCCGAGACUGGUUGGCUACGGACGCUGAACCGCCUGAAAAAGUUGCCCUGAUGAGUUCGUGUGCUCGUUGACUACUGCGCAUGCGGUAACUAUGGAACGAGUGAGUUUUGCUUUGGCUUAGAGAAAGCUGCGAAGACAUUUGAAAAAGACAGGUGUUUCAGCCCUCUUCAUACAAAGCUGUCUACGGAGUGGGCCUCCCUCGACGUUCGAUUCACGGUGCGGCCUGUGAAUCCAUGGCAACGGUCACCGAUCCGUGCGCGAGGCUCGGGCCCUUAAGCUCAG
rnacentral:lncRNA from 1 species